AACGAACGCUGGCGGCGUGGAUAAGACAUGCAAGUCGAACGGGAUUCCUUUCGGUAGCAAUACUGAGAGGGAUUUAGUGGCGAACGGGUGCGUAACACGUAGGCAAUCUGCCGAAAAGUGGGGGAUAGCUCGCCGAAAGGCGAAUUAAUACCGCAUAUGAUCAGAGGCGACAUCGCUUCGAAAUCAAAGGUGCUGCAAGGUACCGCUUUUUGAGGAGCCCGCGGCCUAUCAGCUAGUUGGUGAGGUAACGGCUCACCAAGGCUUUGACGGGUAGCUGGUCUGAGAGGACGACCAGUCACACUGGAACUGAGACACGGUCCAGACACCUACGGGUGGCAGCAGUCGAGAAUUUUUCUCAAUGGGGGCAACCCUGAAGGAGCGACGCCGCGUGGAGGAUGAAGGCUUUCGGGUUGUAAACUCCUGUCAUUUGAGAACAAGUGCCAAACAAGUAACUACUGUUGGCUUGAUAGUAUCAGAAGAGGAAGGGACGGC
rnacentral:rRNA from 1 species